GAUGAACGCUGGCGGCGCGCCUAAUACAUGCAAGUCGAGCGAACGGACGAGAAGCUUGCUUCUCUGAUGUUAGCGGCGGACGGGUGAGUAACACGUGGAUAACCUACCUAUAAGACUGGGAUAACUUCGGGAAACCGGAGCUAAUACCGGAUGAUAUUUUGAACCGCAUGGUUCAAAAGUGAAAGACGGUCUUGCUGUCACUUAUAGAUGGAUCCGCGCUGCAUUAGCUAGUUGGUAAGGUAAUGGCUUACCAAGGCAACGAUGCAUAGCCGACCUGAGGGGGUGAUCGGCCACACUGGAACUGAGACACGGUCCAGGCUCCUACGGGAGGCAGCAGUAGGGAAUCUUCCGCAAUGGGCGAAAGCCUGACGGAGCAACGCCGCGUGAGUGAUGAAGGUCUUCGGAUCGUAAAACUCUGUUAUUAGGGAAGAACAUAUGUGUAAGUAACUGUGCACAUCUUGACGGUACCUAAUCAGAAAGCCACGGCUAACUACGUG
rnacentral:rRNA from 1 species